AUGAUGAUCAGAUUUAUAAAGUUUAUGGUUUUCGUCUGAAUAAUAAUGACGAUAUCGCUCUAGGGCGGUCUGAGUUU